rnacentral:rRNA from 1 species
UACGUAGGGCGCAAGCGUUAUCCGGAAUUAUUGGGCGUAAAGAGCUCGUAGGCGGUUUGUCGCGUCUGCCGUGAAAGUCCAGGGCUCAACCCUGGGAUGCCGGUCGAUACCGCCGGACUAGAGUUCGGAAGAGGCGAGUGGAAUUCCCGGUGUAGCGGUGAAAUGCGCAGAUAUCGGGAGGAACACCUAUGGCGAAGGCAGCUCGCUGGGACGUUACUGACGCUGAGACGCGAAAGCGUGGGGAGCAAACAGG